rnacentral:rRNA from 1 species
UACGUAGGGUGCGAGCGUUGUCCGGAAUUAUUGGGCGUAAAGGGCUCGUAGGCGGUCUGUUGCGUCUGCUGUGAAAACCCGAGGCUCAACCUCGGGCCUGCAGUGGGUACGGGCAGACUAGAGUGCGGUAGGGGAGAAUGGAAUUCCUGGUGUAGCGGUGGAAUGCGCAGAUAUCAGGAGGAACACCGAUGGCGAAGGCAGUUCUCUGGGCCGUAACUGACGCUGAGGAGCGAAAGCGUGGGGAGCGAACAGG